rnacentral:lncRNA from 1 species
GCAACGAGGUCUGCAGCGCUCUCCAGACGUUUAACACAGUCUGGAUAAAACUUCAUGCACAGGAAGCCAUCUUCACAGGUCAAAACACCGAUGUCCCUGAAGGCAAAGGGGACGUGCUCCUUGUUCUUCAGGAGGCAACAGUACAAGACGAUGGUCUCUUGCACACACUCCUGCACCACGUACAGUGGGAAGGAGGUGCCUUGCGCGAGCUGCAGGUAGUUCAGCGGCUCGACCUCGACGUCAUCUGCAAGGAGAAGCAACAUCCUCAGUGCCACAGCAAGCCCAAGUUGCUUGCAGCAUUCUGAACAAGGGCCUAGAGGAAGGGUCGCUAAGAGAAUCAGCUCCGGGGCCACGGGGUCUUCUGGGGGAACUCAAGCUCUACCCUGACCGUUGGAGACAAUCGUCUGCCUCUCCCAGGCCUUUCCAAAGAGCAGGGAGAACAAAUCCUUCCGGAUAUGGGGCAGGAAGAGGGGGCUGCUGCCUUCUCACCAGGGAGGAUCUCAGGGGGACAGUACAUGUACUCCAGCCACGCCUCAUCAAUGUCCAGCUGGAAGAAUGGUUUGCGAAUCAAGAGCCGCUUUUGCUUGACGUGGAAUUGCUCUUGGACAAUAGCAAAGGUCCCUAGCAUCUCCUCAGGUCAUCAAAACUCCACCUGAGGCACACAAACUUGGGUCCUGCUGGGCUCGGGACAAUGUGGCAGCCAGGACUCCUGGGUCCUGAUGCUAGGGCUGUCCUCAGCCUUAGGGCUCCUCUGGGCAUGGCUCAGCCUCCUCGUGAUGGGGACAAUCCAGGGCCAGGUUUCCCUGGGAGCUGGUGCCUCUUUGCGAUCUGGCUCUGUGAGGAAAGACCUCUGGUGUCCCAGAGACUGGUGUGGCCUGCAGCUCCACAGGCCUCUCAGGAAUGUCCCAGGAAUACCCGCAUGGUGUUUUUCUGGGGGGCUCGUAAACUGAGGCUAUCUGGGAUGCUGUAUCCGAGCAAAUUCUGGAAGCGCUGAAGCGGGAUAAGGUGGGCUGGUGUCCUGGGCCCUGCAGAGCAAUCCCUACCCGAGCACUGAGACUGCCCAGGGUGCCCGGAGCA